AGGCUGACGCCUUCUCUGGAUUACUACGAAGUAGUUAGCCGUCAACAAACGAAAGCAGACACAUUUCGACAAUUAGGACUAUUUCCACGCUUAAAGGGCAACAUGCAUUGAUACCAGUCUUGAUAUAUAGCGAGAGAUGUUACAGAUUUGUUGAAUUCUUCUUCUCAAGUUAGCUAACAGUUAGAUAGCUGAUUGAAUUGAACCGGUUCAGCAACGAGUUUAGCUGCGCCAGCUUGUCUUUCUGUUGUUCUUUCAUCUAACGUUACCACCGACAAAGUUGUUUGGACAGUUUGGUGCCCUCAAGUUCCUGCCAUGGCUGACAGUAGCAUGGUGACGUUAGGGACAGCGCGGAGUCUGUUGGUGGAUUCUUCUGUCUAUGAUUCGAGGAUAGCCGAAACCACCAGGGACCAUGUAUUUCUGGGCAUGGCAUGUGAAGAUGGGGAAGAUGUGCUGCCAAAAGUGGAGACGAGGGUUGUUCUGGUGGGAGAAGCGGGCAGAAAUGGAGCGCUCGUCAAAGCACUGCAGGU